AAUGGAAGGUCAUCAGCUGUGGAAGUUCUAUUGUUUUCUUUCAUUGAUUAGGUAACCAAGAAUUAGUUACCUAAUUGUUUUCAUGAAAAGAGUGACAUAACAGUUCAUCUUUUAUGAAAGAGAAACUAGAAAAAUAGUGGCUGAUCAACCUAACUCUGAUCCUUGAAAGAUCUGACAAAAAAGUUAAUUCAGUUUGUUAAAACUUGGGAUGCAAAUCUUGUGAUAAACUAAUUCAAUCAGCCAAUUUAAAAAAUCAACAAUAGAAUAAGGCCAGUGGGAAUAUUUUUAAGAUCUGAUGGUCAGUUUAAUAUUAUUUUCUUCUUUUUCAAAGCAUCUGGCUUACUGAGAAAGAAAGUGAAGCAGGAUGUGACUUGUACUGCCUUCAUACUGAGUCUAAGAGUACUCUGCAAGGCACUAUUUACAGUAACAUAAUUAAACUUUUCCUAAAUAUAAUGAGUUAGAAAAAAGUUAUUCUCUGAGUGACUGUCAUGUUUUGGUGUCAAACUGAAAAGGCUUGAGGUGCUUUUGCUGAUCUCUCACAGACCUUGUUUAAACAGAUAUUACCAUUAGAGAUUUCAAUCACCGAUCAGAAAACUCUUGAAAGGCAGUCGAGUGAGCAUAAAGUUGGGCAGGUCAGACAAUCUACUUUCUGAAGCAAUCUGAUAGUGUGGAUUUUGCAGAGAAAACCAGAUUCCAUGACCACCUGUGAUGCCCAUCUCCCCUCAAAAUUAUAUCAAGCUUAACAGUGGCAGGCCACCAUCCCAUUUGAUGAUAAAGAUGUGUGCUGACACAUGAAAUUGAGCACCUUCUGAAUGUUCAAUAUUGUUUGAAAGGGCAGUAGCAGAAAGCAAUUACGAAAAAAGCAGAGCUACAUGAUAAGUUAGAGAAAACUGAUCUUAUAACAUUAGUAAUUGCUUCUCAUGCUGGAAAAAAUGUAUCCACAGAGAUGACACACAAUUUAUUGUUCUAAAAGUUUACAGAAAAUUGCCUAGAGUCAAAGAGAAAUGUACCUAUGAAUUACUGUGGGAAAUAAAACCUAUGAUUAUUAAAAAGUAAAAAAAAGGCCUAUGUGACUUAUUGAAAUAGACUUUAAGCACUAUUCUGUUAGUAAUCUUUUCCAUCUGGAAUUUGACUAUUGUCUCAUCAGAAAAGUAAUGGCAGUCCACCUCACACAAUCUUGACAAGAUUUGA